GAUGAAGAACGUAGCGAAAUGCGAUAAGUAAUGUGAAUUGCAGAAUUCAGUGAAUCAUCGAAUCUUUGAACGCACAUUGUGCCCUCUGGUAUUCCGGGGGCAUGCCUGUUCGAGCGUCAUUACACCACUCAAGCCUCGCUUGGUAUUGGGCGCCGCGCCUGCCGCGCGCCUUAAUGUCUCCGGCUGAGCUCAUCGUCUCUUAGCGUUGUGGCAAACAAUGUUCGCUUGUGAGACUGACGGGUUUGCGCCGUUAAAACAUCUUCUAAAGGUUGACCUCGGAUCAGGUAGGGAUACCCGCUGAACUUAAGCAUAUCAAUAAGCGGAGGA
rnacentral:misc_RNA from 1 species